UACGUAGGGGGCUAGCGUUGCUCGGAAUUACUGGGCGUAAAGGGAGCGUAGGCGGACAUUUAAGUCAGGGGUGAAAUCCCGGGGCUCAACCUCGGAAUUGCCUUUGAUACUGGGUGUCUUGAGUAUGAGAGAGGUAUGUGGAACUCCGAGUGUAGAGGUGAAAUUCGUAGAUAUUCGGAAGAACACCAGUGGCGAAGGCGACAUACUGGCUCAUUACUGACGCUGAGGCUCGAAAGCGUGGGGAGCAAACAGG
rnacentral:rRNA from 1 species